rnacentral:tRNA from 1 species
GUUCCUGUAGUUGAAGAACAACGGUGGUUUUUCAAGCCACUGGUCUUGGUGGAAGCCCUAGCAGGAACU